AUUGAACGCUGGCGGGAGGCCUAACACAUGCAAGUCGAACGAGUGGCGGACGGGUGAGUAAUGUCUGGGAAACUGCCUGGUGGAGGGGGAUAACUACUGGAAACGGUAGCUAAUACCGCAUACUAUCAGAGGUGCCCAGAUGGGAUUAGCUUGUUGGUGGGGUAAAGGCUCACCAAGGCGACGAUCCCUAGCUGGUCUGAGAGGAUGACCAGCCAAACUGGAACUGAGACACGGUCCAGACUCCUACGGGAGGCAGCAGUGGGGAAUAUUGGACAAUGGGGGCAAGCCUGAUGCAGCCAUGCCGCGUGUAUGAAGAAGGCCUUCGGGUUGUAAAGUACUUUCAGCGGGGAGGCGUUACCCGCAGAAGAAGCACCGGCUAACUCCGUGCCAGCAGCCGCGGUAAUAC
rnacentral:rRNA from 1 species